AUACGAAGACCCCGAGUGUUAUCCGGAUUUAUUGGGCGUAAAGGGUUCGUAGAGGGUUUAGUGCGUCUCAUGUUAAAUCUUACCGCUCAACGGUAAGGCCCCAUGAGAUACGGCUAAACUAGAGGAUGUGAGAGGUCUGUGGAACGCACGGUGUAGGGGUGAUAUCCGUUGAUAUCGUGCGGAACACCAAAGGCGAAGGCAGCAGACUGGCGCAUUCCUGACCUUGAGGAACGAAAGCGUGGGGAGCGAACGGGAUUAGAAACCCCAGUAGUCC
rnacentral:rRNA from 1 species